UACGUAGGGGGCAAGCGUUGUCCGGAAUUAUUGGGCGUAAAGAGCGUGUAGGCGGUCCGGUAAGUCGGCUGUGAAAGUCCAGGGCUCAACCCUGGGGUGCCGGUCGAUACUGCCGGACUAGAGUUCGGAAGAGGCGAGUGGAAUUCCCGGUGUAGCGGUGAAAUGCGCAGAUAUCAGGAGGAACACCAAUAGCGAAGGCAGCUCGCUGGGACGUUACUGACACUGAGGCGCGAAAAGCGUGGGGGAGCGAACAGG
rnacentral:rRNA from 1 species